GACGAAUGCUGGCGGCGCGCCUAACACAUGCAAGUCGAGCGAUGAAAUUUUAACCGAUCUCUUCGGAGAGAAGAUAAAAUGGAUUAGCGGCGGACGGGUGAGUAACACGUGAGAAACCUGCCUUUCACAAGGGGAUAGCCUCGGGAAACCGGGAUUAAUACCCUAUGACACAUUUCCUUCGCAUGGAAGAAAUGUUAAAACUCCGGUGGUGAAAGAUGGUCUCGCGCCUGAUUAGCUAGUUGGUGGGGUAACGGCCCACCAAGGCCAUGAUCAGUAACCGGCCUGAGAGGGUGAACGGUCACAGUGGAACUGAGACACGGUCCAAACUCCUACGGGAGGCAGCAGUGGGGAAUAUUGCACAAUGGAGGAAACUCUGAUGCAGCGACGCCGCGUGAGCGAUGAAGGCUUUCGAGUCGUAAAGCUCUGUCCUAUGGGAAGAUAAUGACGGUACCAUAGGAGGAAGCCCCGGCUAACUACGUG
rnacentral:rRNA from 1 species